rnacentral:lncRNA from 1 species
GAGGAAAAACAACUUGAACAAUGUAAGGACCAUCCCAUCUAGAACGCAACUUAUCGGGAAACAAAUGAAGCCUAGAAUUGUAGAGAAGAACUUUUUGGCCGGGAGAAAAGGAUUUUCUUAAAAUGGUUUUAUCAUGGAAGGCCUUGGUUCUCUCUUUGUAAAUUUUAGCAUUUUCGUAGGCAUCAUUUCUAAGUUCGUCUAACUCGGUCAAUUGCAACUUCCGAUGACUACCGGCGGUGGGUAAGUCGAAGUUCAAUUCUCUAGUGGCCCACAU